rnacentral:rRNA from 1 species
GAUGAACGCUAGCGAUAGGCUUAACACAUGCAAGUCGAGGGGCAUCACAUGAGUAGCAAUACGAUGGUGGCGACCGGCGCACGGGUGAGUAACACGUAUGCAACCUACCCAUAACUGGGGGAUAACCCGUCGAAAGGCGGACUAAUACCGCAUAACACUGUUUUUUUGCAUGAGAAGACAGUUAAAGAAAUUCGGUUAUGGAUGGGCAUGCGUUCCAUUAGGUAGUUGGUAAGGUAACGGCUUACCAAGCCUACGAUGGAUAGGGGUUCUGAGAGGAAGGGCCCCCACACUGGUACUGAGACACGGACCAGACUCCUACGGGAGGCAGCAGUGAGGAAUAUUGGUCAAUGGGCGGGAGCCUGAACCAGCCAAAUCGCGUGAAGGAUGAAGGUAUUAUGUAUUGUAAACUUCUUUUGUCAGGGAAUAAAGUGCAUCACGUGUGGUGUUUUGUAUGUACCUGAAGAAUAAGGAUCGGCUAACUCCGUGCCAGCCGCCGCAGUAAUAC